UUCGAAAAUACCUUGAAAUAGAAGUUGUAGAUAAUUGAAUUAGCUUUCCAUCCAUAGGUCGUGGGUUCCCAGGUGACGUUGGUACAAGGAGAUAUGAACGUUUUAAGGUCGAAAGGUCAGUGGGCUAGGCCCAACUCGGGACCAACCGAGUUGGCCCAAAAAAAUGAAAAAAAAAAUCAGGCCCAAGUGAGGAGCCAUUCGGCCAUGGUCCAUAAAAAGGAUCCAAGCCCAUGGAAUUAAGUCAUGUGGUCAAUGAAUAAAAGACCACUUAAUCAUCCAAAUUCCAUAGAACUUUCAAGAGAAAGAAUAGGAGGAAAAACAAGAGAAAAACAAGAACAAAAAGAGGGCAUUUCGGGUUUGGCCAUAGAAAAAUCACCCCUCAAAAUCUUGCCUCUAAAAUUAUUUUCUUGUUGAAUUCCUACUAAAUUAAGUGCCCUCUACAACUUGGUGUAAUUGUUUUGGAAGAAGGAGCACUUAUUUCUUCAAGUUGACAACUUGUUCAAGUGAAGAAGUUUGUAGAAAAAGUUUUUCGACGAAACGGGAAGUGAGUUUGGAAAGGCUUAAGGAGCGCGAAAGGUACUGACGACAGGUUCGCUGAUCCACACGUUUAGGAUCCUAUUUCUGCUAUUUGGGGCUCUCUCUUCUACAGAGCCCAUCUUUUGGUACAGUCUGUCACUGCUAUCUGGAUAUGUACUUUGUUCAGGGUAUGACGGGGCCCUGUCCCGUCUUAUGAUUAUGAUAUGUUCUGUAGAGGUCUGUGGAUACAUCUGUGUGGGUUCUGUACAUAUGUUUGGGAUAUUCUGUUCUGUGAUGGCCUUAUCGGCCUAUGUGUGCCAAGUCUG